GUGAAGCAGGAUGGGAGCCACAUGGAGGAAACUGUUAUUAUUUCUCCACCACUAAAUCCUCCUGGACUGACAGCAGACGUUCCUGCACUGAUCUGGGAUCAGACCUGGUGAAGAUCGACAGCAGAGAGGAGCAGACGUUCCUGCUGAGGAAAGUGAGGGAAAAAAUCAAUGGUGUUAAUGAAAUAAUCUGGAUCGGAUUGACCGCCGUAAAGACAGAAGGCUCCUGGUUGUGGGUGAACGGAUCUCCACUGAACACAAGUUUUUUGGGUCCUAAUCAGCCUGAUUGUGCAGGUGGACGAACACAUGACUGCAACAACAAGAUGGUUUGUGGGAGGAUGAUGAAGACAACAAAUUCUGAUCUUGUGUGGUUGGAUGGAUAUUGUGAUGAUUAUCUGAGAAGUAUUUGUGUGAAAGCAGCUUAGCUGUGUUUC